rnacentral:rRNA from 1 species
CAACGCAUGAUGCCAGCUUGCUGGUGGAUUAGUGGCGAACGGGUGAGUAACACGUGAGUAACCUGCCCUUAACUCUGGGAUAAGCCUGGGAAACUGGGUCUAAUACCGGAUAUGACUCCUCAUCGCAUGGUGGGGGGUGGAAAGCUUUAUUGUGGUUUUGGAUGGACUCGCGGCCUAUCAGCUUGUUGGUGAGGUAAUGGCUCACCAAGGCGACGACGGGUAGCCGGCCUGAGAGGGUGACCGGCCACACUGGGACUGAGACACGGCCCAGACUCCUACGGGAGGCAGCAGUGGGGAAUAUUGCACAAUGGGCGCAAGCCUGAUGCAGCGACGCCGCGUGAGGGAUGACGGCCUUCGGGUUGUAAACCUCUUUCAGUAGGGAAGAAGCGAAAGUGACGGUACCUGCAGAAGAAGCGCCGGCUAACUACGUGCCAGCAGCCGCGGUAAUACGUAGGGCGCAAGCGUUAUCCGGAAUUAUUGGGCGUAAAGAGCUCGUAGGCGGUUUGUCGCGUCUGCCGUGAAAGUCCGGGGCUCAACUCCGGAUCUGCGGUGGGUACGGGCAGACUAGAGUGAUGUAGGGGAGACUGGAAUUCCUGGUGUAGCGGUGAAAUGCGCAGAUAUCAGGAGGAACACCGAUGGCGAAGGCAGGUCUCUGGGCAUUAACUGACGCUGAGGAGCGAAAGCAUGGGGAGCGAACAGGAUUAGAUACCCUGGUAGUCCAUGCCG